AUAGUUCUAAAUUGUUUUGGAUGAAAUGAAGCACCAGGGCGUAAAAACACAGCGAAUUCUCUUUAACAUGUUUCAGAACUGCCACGGGUGCCUGCUGAAAGAUCUGUACCACAGCCAGAUGCUCCCAUCAUCCCUACACCAUCAAGGAACCCACCAGUCACACUGAGCGACGAGGAAGGCAGUCACCUGAAUGUGGUCUACAUCAUCUUCCCCAUUGGCUCUCUCCUGCUGCUCCUGCUGCUGGCUUCAGGGAUCAUCUGCUGCAGGGCUCUCACCAGAGGGUAAGAGUUGUCUGCUUACACACAGUCCAGCCUGCGCAUGUCUAUGUUUUGUGUGUGGAGUGUGAAAUUUGUGUCUGUGUGCACAGGUGGAAGGAACGAGCGCCGCAAGCCGCAGAGGGGUGUGGCAGGACCUUGGGUCAAAAUGUUCACAGGGACAUCUACAAGCACCGUGAUCCCAACCUGUUAGCGACGUACCGUCCCUUCUCAGGCGACUACGAGAACCUGCCAAAGAGGGACCUGGACAGUGGCUUUGUCACCAACAUCAUAUACGAGACAUGUCAAGG
rnacentral:lncRNA from 1 species